GGAGGGUGCAAGCGUUAAUCGGAAUUACUGGGCGUAAAGCGUACGUAGGCGGCGUGUUAAGCAAGAUGUGAAAGCCCCGGGCUCAACCUGGGAAUUGCAUUUUGAACUGGCAUGCUAGAGUCCUGAAGAGGGUGGUAGAAUUUCCAGUGUAGCGGUGAAAUGCGUAGAUAUUGGAAGGAAUACCAGUGGCGAAGGCGGCCACCUGGUCAGAGACUGACGCUGAGGUACGAAAGCGUGGGGAGCAAACAGGAUUAGAUACCCUGGUAGUCCACGCCGUAAACGAUGUCAACUAGUUGUUCGUGUCAUUAAGACGUGAGUAACGCAGCUAACGCACUAAGUUGACCGCCUGGGGAGUACGGCCGCAAGGUUAAAACUCAAAUGAAUUGACGGGGGCCCGCACAAGCGGUGGAGCAUGUGGUUUAAUUCGAUGCAACGCGAAGAACCUUACCAUCCCUUGACAUCCAGUGAAUUUUCCAGAGAUGGAUUAGUGCCUUCGGGAACACUGAGACAGGUGCUGCAUGGCUGUCGUCAGCUCGUGUUGUGAGAUGUUGGGUUAAGUCCCGCAGCGAGCGCAACCCUUAUCCUUAGUUGCCAGCACGUAAUGGUGGGAACUCUGGGGAGACUGCCGGUGAUAAACCGGAGGAAGGUGGGGACGACGGCAGUCAUCAUGGCCCUUACGGGAUGGGCUACACACGUGCUACAAUGGCGCAUACAAAGGGCAGCAAGCCAGCGAUGGUUAGCGAAUCUCAUAAAGUGCGUCGUAGUCCGGAUUGGAGUCUGCAACUCGACUCCAUGAAGUCGGAAUCGCUAGUAAUCGUGGAUCAGAAUGCCACGGUGAAUACGUUCCCGGGCCUU
rnacentral:rRNA from 1 species